GGGGAUUUAGCUCAGUGGUAGAGCGCUUGCCUAGGAAGCGCAAGGGCCCGGGUUCAGUCCCCN
rnacentral:tRNA from 1 species